GACUAGAAUCAACGGCAUCACGAGGGUCUUACUAGUCUCCUUUCUCUAAUCAGUGAAACUAGAUCUCUCCGUGAAGAAGCGGGGAUAAAAAUAUAAGACGAGAAGACCCCAUGGAGCUUCAAGCUCAACAAGUACUCUUUUUCACUAACCUUACAGACUCUAGAAUCUACUUGUUAGCUUUGGGUUGGGGUGACCGCGGAGAAAAACUUAACCUCCAUAAUGAAAAGAAUAAAAUCCUAAUCUAUGAGCCCACACCUCUAAGAAUCAACAAAUUGGCAUAAAAUGACCCGAUACUUCGAUCAAUGAACCAAGUUACCCUGGGGAUAACAGCGCCAUCCACUUCAAGAGCCCAUAUCGACAAGUGGGUUUACGACCUCGAUGUUGGAUCAGGGUGUCCCAGUGGUGCAGCCGCUACUAAAGGUUCGUUUGUUCAACGAUUAAAACCCUACG
rnacentral:rRNA from 1 species